AUUGAACGCUGGCGGCAGGCCUAACACAUGCAAGUCGAGCGGUAGCACAGGAGAGCUUGCUCUCUGGGUGACGAGCGGCGGACGGGUGAGUAAUGUCUGGGAAACUGCCUGAUGGAGGGGGAUAACUACUGGAAACGGUAGCUAAUACCGCAUAAUGUCGCAAGACCAAAGAGGGGGACCUUCGGGCCUCUUGCCAUCAGAUGUGCCCAGAUGGGAUUAGCUAGUAGGUGGGGUAACGGCUCACCUAGGCGACGAUCCCUAGCUGGUCUGAGAGGAUGACCAGCCACACUGGAACUGAGACACGGUCCAGACUCGUACGGGAGGCAGCAGUGGGGAAUAUUGCACAAUGGGCGCAAGCCUGAUGCAGCCAUGCCGCGUGUAUGAAGAAGGCCUUCGGGUUGUAAAGUACUUUCAGCGAGGAGGAAGGCAUUGUGGUUUAUAACCACAGUGAUUGACGUUACUCGCAGAAGAAGCACCGGCUAACUCCGUGCCAGCCGCCGCAGUAA
rnacentral:rRNA from 1 species